rnacentral:lncRNA from 1 species
AGCAGUGAUUCUCAAAUUUUCCUGCAUCGUUGCCCUUUAGAAUCACCUGGGAGUUUUUAAAACUUCUGACACCCAGGCCAUGAUGGGGAGGGGGCUGAGGACAGACCGUCAAAUCAGGAUCUGGGGUGAGAUCCUGGUAUUAGCAUUUGUUGAAGACCCCCAGGUCUCUCUGACGCACCACAAGUUUGAGACCAGAGGGAUAAGAGGUGCUUCUCAAUUAGGCAGGCCCAGAGGCUGCGUUUCUAGCAACCUCCCAGGUGGUGGCCACAUGCCGCGAUAUUGGCUUUGUGCUUGUCUUCACGUCACACUGACAUUGGAGGACUUGCAGCAUCUGCUCUUUGUUCCGCCAUCUCGUCAUGGCCCUUAUCACACUGAUUUCCAAUCUCAUCCCAGAUGACUUCCCGGCCCCUGGGAAAUAUACGUAAGUGUUUCUUGCCCCUGAGGAGUAAUUGCUCUGGAUGGUGGCACGUUGAGUUUCUGCUAUUCCAAGAAAGGCUUCGCUUCCCUCAUCUUGAAGCCUCUUCUCUUUUUGGGAUUCAGUUUUGAAGGAUCCCAUGUUUCCCCUGGUCCAUAUUUUCUGUACCACCUGUUCUAUAUCUUCCCCUGCAAUUCUCAGUCAUUGACUUCCAACAUAUUUGAAUACAGGCAUACAGAGGAAGAAAGACGUGGUCUCUGCAUGUCCUCCUCAAUGAGAACAUUAAAAGGACAAAAGCACGUUUUCCCCUGUCUCAGCCUGGUUUAUAUUUCCUUCUAGAAGUCCUGGUUUUCUUACAUUUUUUACGAGGCUCCUCCUUGACUGGUAACUCCAGACGUACUGAUUCCUUUAUUCAAGGGAUCUGGAACUCCGCAAGAGUUUGCUCUGGCUGCAACUUGUUUAGCGUCCAUCUACGGUUUGGGUGGAGCUGGGGGUCGACACCACCUUGGGGGUUGUGCCAAAGAUAUCCUCUCAUCUUUACAGUUAGGAAGAGGCCUCUGGACAGGAUAUGAGAGAACACUUGCUUAGAGAGAUAAGAGCUAGAAAGGAGAGCGUACAAAGGGACUCCUACGUGAUUUCUUAUUCAAAAUUAUCUUAGCAGACUGGUUUUGACAGCAACCUAGGUUUCAUUUUAUGCCUUUGGGCUGGGGCAAGGGGGAUGAAAAAUGUCAAUUUGCUGGAGGGUUCCCAUGGAAUGAGGCAAUUUGGGUUCAGAAAUGAUGGAAUGUGUAAACAGGUUUUAAUAUUCAGGAGAAAUUUUUAAAAAUUGUAAUCCAUUGCAUGUUUACUUUUUUAAAAUCUCAACUCAGAAAUGUAGGUGAAGGCAAAAUCUGCCAUUUAUGAGCCAGGUUCUGUGCUAGACACCUGACAUUGCACAACUCUUCCAAUACGUGCUGGGAUGUGUACUAUUGCUAUUCACAUUUCAAAGGUGGGUAAAUCAAGGCUCAGAAAGGUUAAGUAAAUUAUCCAAGGUCAUAAACUAGUCAGUGGUAAAUUGUGAUUCAAAUUCUAACUCUGACUCCAGAUCCAUGGUCCUAAGUAUGAUGUGUAUGCGUGUAUGUGUGUGUGUGCGUGCGUAUAUAACAAAAAUUGGAUCAUACCACACAUACAAUUUAGAAUCCUCCCUUUUCUUACUCAUUAAGAGCUUUCCUCCUUCUUAUAAUAUUUUAUAAAAGAUAUUUUUAAAUGGCUGAAUACUGUCUUUUUUUUUUUUUUUUUUUUUUUUUUUGAGGAAGGUUAGCCCUGAGCUAACAUCUGCCGCCAGUCCUGCUCUUUCUGUUCAGGAAGAUUGGCCCUGAGCUGACAUCCGUGUCCAUCUUCCUCUACUUUACAAGUGGGACACCUACCACAGCAUGGCUUGAUAAGUGGUGUAUAGGUCCACACCCAGGAUCCAAACUGGCGAACCCCAGGCUGCUGAAGCCGACUGCACAAACUCAACCACUACACCACCUGGCCGGCCCCAAUACUGUCUUUUCUUGAAAAUGUAAUGUAAUUUUGUCAGUCUCCUAUUAAUGAACAUACACAUUCUUUCCCAUUUUCAGUGAUAUACAUAAUUAUUCAAUAAACAUUAAACAAUAAAGCGAUAUACUUAUAUU